CAGUAUAACACGAUAUACCUAUGUCCGAUGUACUUCUGAUUUCGGACUAAACCAAAAAAUUUUAUCAGAAUUAUCAACACUGUUCUCGCGUUGCAUGACUGACCUGAAAUAUUGAACUGAUCUUUCUGUCCUUCGAAUUUUUCCUUGGGAUCAAAAUUUCUGUCGUGUUUUUUCGGGAAUAUGGAGGUGCUCGUCUUGUUUCUGGCACCUUUGGUGCGUUUCAUUGUGUGUAUCUUUGUCGUAAAGACAUUUGCACACACCUUUUUAUCGGCAGGAUUUUUCUGUGCCUGGAUCGGAGCUUCAUCAGGCGGUUCUUCCACGAACGGAGGCAGGAAGUACGAUAUCAGAUACCAGAGCAUGGCUGUAAUACUCCCUCCAAUUAAAACGAUUAAGACUUCCGAUUCAGUCAUUGUUAUUUGAAUCUGAGAUAUAAUCCUCGAAAGUUGCAAACAGAAAAAUCUGACAACAGCAAAAACUUCUUGGCAGUUGGAAACACCCCAACGAUGCAACCCACUUUCAAAGCAACCUGGAAGAGAAAUGCGGGAAUUAUAAAUUAUUCUAGUUACUAGUACUACUCUAGUUACUAAGUACUAGUAAUCGUCUGCAACGAAGUAAGCCGUAAACGCUGUCAUCUGGAGACUCUACUAGGAUCAUCGAUCAUGAUGGAUACUCGUAUGCAAUUUUGAAUGUUUAGUUUAUGCGGCUAUCAAGUUAUCAACAUUGGCCAAUCGCACGGUGGUUCAUUCAGCAACACAGAUACAUGUUUUUGUAAAUUAUAACUUAUAAAUUAUAAAUUAGAACAACAAAAUCUCAGUUAAACUUUCCAAGGUUGAACGCUUCGCCCGGCGGGAGGUUAUUACAUAAAGGCCUUGUCAAGGAUACUGUAGUCUCUAUGUUCCCCAAACAAAAUAAAAUGAUUAUAAUACAGUACGUAUUUGAUUUUCGAUUAUUUGAUUUUGAAUUUUGGUCCUGUUUACUUUCGUCUUCCACCCUUUGCCUCCGAGUCGGAUGACAGCCUCUCCGACUCCGCUCGUAGUCCCUCCACACUCGGAGGAGAUGGAUGAUGGACAAUGCGUCAAUGCGCAGUGGAAUUUCACUGAGCUGAUCCGCAGUUGCACGAAUUCCAACUUGCUUGCUUGGUCCAUAGUGACAGCAACGCCAAUGGCGGAGACCACGGCCGACGCCAACGCUCCAUCCGCCAGAAAGCGCUGCGUUCGCUGCCCGUGGCGUCCACGCUCAGCCAGGUGAACAACGCGGAAUCCGUGCAGUUCAUGAAAUGGGCCGCCGAUUUCUUCCCACGUCCCUGGUCCGCUCCCACGAAGGAGCGCUUCCUGAAGAUCGUCGGCGUGACGCAGGAUGAUACAUGUACGACGCAGCCUGAUCCGCUGGAUUUUUCCACAGGAUGGCAAGGACGAUCAAUUUUAUAUUUUUAUAUCAAUCCAACAAGACCCGAUUGAGCUGCGCCAGCAUAUAUUCCAAAGAGUCUGGUGAUUUCAAUGUGAUUCCUGGUUACCAGCUGCAAGAUCUGCUCAACGACACAGCGACUAGUCAAGUGUGCACCGUCGUCUUCUUUUAUUCUGGCACUUGUCCCUACUGCUACCGCGCAGCGCCUGUCAUGCACUCGGCAGCCGUAUAUUUCCCGGAGACUAGAUUUCUGGCUGUGGAUACCGACAGAACACCAGGGGUAGCUGGACACCAUGGAAUAAUGGGUGUUCCGGUGGGCUUACUUUUCUGUGAGAAACGGUUUACUACUGGCUGGACUAUCCCGAACACAUGCUCGCGAUACUAUCCGAGCGUUCAUUAUGGCUUAUACUGAUGUGAAAUACAUUUCACACACGCAGAGUAUUACUGGAGUGAACGAAGGAAUACUGAGCCAUCUUGAACUGAAGCAGAACAGUUUGAUCUACUUUGAACUGUGGAAGUAGAACAGUUUGAUCUACAUGAUUUCCAACAUUAUCGUCUUGGCCGCCUUUGCCAUGGUCUUCUGGAAGCGGUACUUGCUGGAUGCCAUCAAAAAAACAUUAGACCGGGCAGGUGUCAAUGAUGAACGACUGGUUUUGGUGUCCAACAGCCUGAUCCUCUCGGCGACUCCCAAAUUCCUGUUCCCCAAAUUCCACUGGAAGUACAAGACAAUGUGAACUGAAUUCUGGAAGAGUUGUGAUUAUUUUCGGGAAAUGGAAAUGAGCCACUCGUUGCGGAGUACCGACAAGAGGGAAGCUGCGGAAUACUGCAUCUCAUUCAUCAUUUAUGUUUCUACAUUGUCCUGUGAGCAAUUUCCAUUUCGUUACUGUGAAGUGUAAACGAAUGGCCCUUUUUUUCUAUAACGCUUAAUAUUAUUGAUAGCUGAUGUAUACGCUUCGUUAUGCUGGCGUAGGGCACAACCUGUGAUGGUAUAAUAUUCGGUUUAUGUUAUGUCUAACAUGUAUUUUGUAUUGAGAUUUACUCUGAAUUCUGAAAGAGUUUCCGAAUACUUUAGGUAAUGGAAAGUACCUAAACAAUUAAAAGCAAACCGGCUUAUUCGUGCUUUAUUUUGAAAUAUUUUAAAUAA